UGGCCCUUCGUCUAGCGGUAGGACUCUGGAUUCUGAUUCCAGCUGCCGGGGUUCGAAUCCCUGAGGGCCAGCCA
rnacentral:tRNA from 1 species